AAUGGGCGCAAGCCUGAUCCAGCCAUGCCGCGUGAGUGAUGAAGGUCUUCGGAUUGUAAAACUCUUUCGCCGGGGAAGAUAAUGACGGUACCCGGAGAAGAAGCUCCGGCUAACUUCGUGCCAGCAGCCGCGGUAAUACGAAGGGAGCUAGCGUUGUUCGGAAUUACUGGGCGUAAAGCGCACGUAGGCGGAUUUUUAAGUCAGGGGUGAAAUCCCAAGGCUCAACCUUGGAACUGCCUUUGAUACUGGAAGUCUCGAGAUCGGGAGAGGUGAGUGGAAUUCCUAGUGUAGAGGUGAAAUUCGUAGAUAUUAGGAAGAACACCAGUGGCGAAGGCGGCUCACUGGCCCGAUACUGACGCUGAGGUGCGAAAGCGUGGGGAGCAAA
rnacentral:rRNA from 1 species